CUCUUAUGUGCUAGUAGUUUUUUAUCAAUCUCAGUAUUUCCCUCUCUCUUCAUCUUCACAAAUUUUAACUAAUUAAUUAAGUUAAGAAUCAAUGGCAACAAAUGUGAGUACUUCUUUGAUGAACGGCGGCGGCCGUUGCCGGAGUUUUUCUAAGAGUUACGACGUUGUUGGCAGACGUCGGCCAAUAUCGAGAAGGGGACAAGUAAAGGUCGGAAUUGUCUUGGGCCUUGCUCAAAUUUUGGCUUCAGCCUUUUCUCCUACUACUCGUACCAAAUCUGCUGCUUUUGCACAACCAUUUUGAUUAUUUUUUUUUGUUUAUUCUUUUUUAUAAAAAAUUUGGGAGAGAGAUUAGUUGAAGAAAGUAGCUAGUAGCUAGAGCCUAGAGACUUCUGAAUGUGUUGUAUAAAUAUUUUGUUAAGUAUAAUUAAGCCCUAUGAUCAUUUAUUUGUAUCUAAGAGGCUAGUUGUUAUGAAUGUGUUGUAUAAAUAUUAUAGUAUAAUUUAUUUGUAUCUAGAGGCUAGUUGUUAAGUAUAAUUAAGCCCUAUGAUCAUUUAGUUGUAUUUAAGAGGCUAGUUGUUAUGAAUAUUUUGUAUAAAUAUAUCUUUUCAUGUAAUUUCUAUCAAAGUCUAUUCGACACUAUAAAUUGAUAACAAUAGUGUUGUUGAGAGCCCAUAUUUGCAAGUUGAGACUCGUAAAUAGGGGAUCUGUGGAAAGGACUAUUUAGAGGCCGAAUUAAAAUAUUCAUACCGAGUUAGUGUCGUUAGUAUGAAACCGCUAUAGCUGGGUGGGUAGAUGGGCUGACGAGGACGUCAGCUUUGCAAGGUGUGUGUAUUGAUACGAACUCUAUAUUAGACCGUAGGGAAUUAAUAAUCUCACAUCGGUUUACACAGCAAAAGAACAAUAUUAUCCAACCUGUUGACAACGUCCACCUUUUCCUCAAGGUGUAAUUUAAGAGUAUUUAAGAUCUUAUAUUUUGUAGUGUUUUUAAGUCCAUAACUGCAUUGCAGACACUUGCAUCAAAUUUAUCUCCCUUGAAUAGCGUCAAGAAUUGAAUGAUCUGCCUUAUUGCUAUAAAUUGAAUUUUGUUCACGUCCAAUGUAGAUACAUGUAUCACUUUAGAGCUCCU
rnacentral:lncRNA from 1 species